rnacentral:rRNA from 1 species
UAAGUGGUGGAAAUUAAACCAAAUGGGAUAUCUUUAGUAAUUGCGAAUGAACAAGGAUAUGCUUAGCUUGACAAAUGGAGCUAUUGGCUUUGAAUUGUAUUGUGGAAAUGUAUUACCAACAGAGGUGCAGGUGCCAGCCUAUUGAAAUAAAGCGUCAAUGAGGGUGAGAAUCCUGUUUGUCAUGUGCAGCCCUUUGUGCACGGUGUAUAUUUGCUGAGUCACACUCCUUGGCAUUGGAAUGCAAAGUGGGUGGUAAGUUUCAUGUAAAGGUAAACAUGCAAUUGAGACUGAUAGCACGCAAGUACCAUGAGGGAAAUAUGAAAAGGACUUUGAAAAGAGAAUUAAAUGAGUUUGUAUUUGCUGAACACAAAGUAAACAGACUUGAUUUGCUUGGUGGGAGUGUUGCACUUGCUUGACAAGAGCUUUGGGCUGUGGGUGUAAUGAUUCUUUCUUUGCAUGCCAGUUUCUAUUUGUACAUCUGAUUACCUUCGCACAUGAAUGAUAAGUCUCCUGUGGGGGGUGGAUUGCAUGCGCAUGUAAUGAUUUGUGUUUUGAUAAAUGUGUCUGGUGUAUGUGUGUGUGUUCCUGUGCUUGGGGAUGCUUCCUUCCUUGGACUUACAAGCCCUGACACACACAUGCUGGCAAAAUGCUUCUGCUUGACCCG